CAGUCAUGCUAGUGAAAAAUCAGUUUGACGGGUUUUGAGUUCGGGAGUAGAGGCAGGGUCAAACCGUUUCUCUUUUGGACUUGGGAUUUGUCGGAUGUACUUUUUCUUUGGCAGGUCAGCGUCGGUUUCGGAGGUUGUAAAAUACUUGGGGGAAAGUAGCUCUGCUUCGGGAGAAGUAUUAUAGACCCUGGGGGAUGCAGCCUGUGGGAUCGAGGAUUGCAGCAAAUGCCUUUGGCUUGUCGCCUGAUCUCUGGAUGUUACCUUGCUUGUGACAACAUUCUUGCCACUGGUGAGUACUGAUGCCCAUUAGGUUAGAACGAUCAAAAAUCGUUAAGGAUGUUGACGUA
rnacentral:rRNA from 1 species